CAUCCUUGAUCGGAAGGUCCGGGUAAUCUUUUGAAACUUCAUCGUGCUGGGGAUAGUCCCUUGCAAUUUUUGGACUUUAACGAGGAAUUCCUAGUAAGCGUGAGUCAUCAACUCGCGUUGAUUACGUCCCUGCCCUUUGUACACACCGCCCGUCGCUACUACCGAUUGAAUGGCUUAGUGAAUCCUUCGGAUUGGCUUUCUUUUCUGGCAACAGAAUUUGAUCGCUGAAAAGUUGGGCAAACUUGGUCAUUUAGAGGAAGUAAAAGUCGUAACAAGGUUUCCGUAGGUGAACCUGCGGAAGGAUCAUUAAAAAAUGAGACCUCUGAUUUAAGGGGUCUAUUAAUAAUCCUACCCUUUGUGAAUUUGUUUGUUUUUUAAUUUGUGUCUUUCCCUGUUUUUUGAUGGAGCUUGUUAAAAAGCAAAAUCAAAUGCAGGGGAAUGGCAAAACCUUUUUUUAAAAUUAAACAUUUUGUAUUCAUUUGUCUAAAAUUAUUUUUAUAAUAUAAAAACAACUUUUGACAAUGGAUCUCUUGGUUCUCGCAACGAUGAAGAACGCAGCAAAAUGCGAUAAGUAAUGUGAAUUGCAGAAUACGUGAAUCAUCGAAUCUUCGAACGCAUAUUGCAC
rnacentral:rRNA from 1 species